rnacentral:rRNA from 1 species
CCUACGGGUGGCAGCAGUGGGGAAUAUUGCGCAAUGGGCGAAAGCCUGACGCAGCGACGCCGCGUGAGGGAUGAAGGUCUUCGGAUCGUAAACCUCUGUCAGCAGGGAAGAACGGUCACUGUGCUAAUCAGCAGUGAAUUGACGGUACCUGCAAAGGAAGCACCGGCUAACUCCGUGCCAGCAGCCGCGGGAAUACGGAGGGUGCGAGCGUUAAUCGGAAUUACUGGGCGUAAAGCGCUCGUAGGCGGUAUGUCAAGUCAAGGGUGAAAUCCCCGCGCUCAACGUGGGAACUGCCUUUGAAACUGGCAAACUGGAGUGUGUGAGAGGAGAGUGGAAUUCCAGGUGUAGGAGUGAAAUCCGUAGAUAUCGGGAGGAACAUCAGUGGCGAAGGCGACUAUCUGGAACAUAACUGACGCUGAGGAGCGAAAGCGUGGGUAGCAAACAGGAUUAGAUACCCUAGUAGUC